rnacentral:rRNA from 1 species
CAAUAGCGUUUUUUAAAGUUGUUGCGGUUAAAAAGCUCGUAGUUGGAUUUCUGCCGAGGACGACCGGUCCGCCCUCUGGGUGAGUAUCUGGUUCGGCCUGGGCAUCUUCUUGGAGAACGUAUCUGCACUUGACUGUGUGGUGCGGUAUCCAGGACUUUACUUGAGGAAAUUAGAGUGUUUCAAGCAGGCACACGCCUUGAAUACAUUAGCAUGGAAUAAUAAGAUAGGACCUUGGUUCUAUUUUGUUGGUUUCUAGAGCUGAGGUAAUGAUUAAGAGGAACAGUUGGGGGCAUUCGUAUUUCAUUGUCAGAGGUGAAAUUCUUGGAUUUAUGAAAGACGAACUUCUGCGAAAGCAUUUGCCAAGGAUGUUUUCAUUAAUCAAGAACGAAAGUUGGGGGCUCGAAGACGAUUAGAUACCA